rnacentral:rRNA from 1 species
UACGGAGGGGGCUAGCGUUGUUCGGAAUUACUGGGCGUAAAGCGCGCGUAGGCGGUUUUUUAAGUCAGAGGUGAAAGCCUGGAGCUCAACUCCAGAACUGCCUUUGAAACUGGAAAACUUGAAUCUUGGAGAGGUCAGUGGAAUUCCGAGUGUAGAGGUGAAAUUCGUAGAUAUUCGGAAGAACACCAGUGGCGAAGGCGACAUACUGGCUCAUUACUGACGCUGAGGCGCGAAAGCGUGGGGAGCAAACAGG